AACGCACAUUGCGCCCGCUAGUAUUCUGGCGGGCAUGCCUGUUCGAGCGUCAUUUCAACCAUCAAGCCCUAGGCUUGCGUUGGAGCCCUGCGGCCGCCGCAGCCUCCUAAAACCAGUGGCGGGCUCGCUAUCACACCGAGUGCAGUAGUUUACUCUUCGCUCAGGGCGUGUGGCGGGUGCUGGCCGUAAAACCCCCUACUUCUUAAGGUUGACCUCGGAUCAGGUAGGAAUACCCGCUGAACUUAA
rnacentral:misc_RNA from 1 species